rnacentral:rRNA from 1 species
UACAGAGGUCCCAAGCGUUGUUCGGAUUCACUGGGCGUAAAGGGUGCGUAGGCGGUCGGGUAGGUCUGAUGUGGAAUCUCACAGCUUAACUGUGAAACUGCAUUGGAUACUAUUCGGCUUGAGAGUUGGAGGGGGGACUGGAAUUCUUGGUGUAGCAGUGAAAUGCGUAGAUAUCAAGAGGAACACCAGUGGCGAAGGCGAGUCCCUGGACAACUUCUGACGCUGAGGCACGAAAGCUAGGGGGAGCAAACAGG